rnacentral:rRNA from 1 species
GACGAACGCUGGCGGCGUGCUUAACACAUGCAAGUCGAACGGUGAAGCUCCAGCUUGCUGGAGUGGAUCAGUGGCGAACGGGUGAGUAACACGUGAGCAACCUGCCCCUGACUCUGGAAUAAGCGCUGGAAACGGCGUCUAAUACUGGAUACGAGAAGGGUCCGCAUGGGCACUUUCUGGAAAGUUUUCGGUUGGGGAUGGGCUCGCGGCCUAUCAGCUUGUUGGUGAGGUAAUGGCUCACCAAGGCGACGACGGGUAGCCGGCCUGAGAGGGCGACCGGCCACACUGGGACUGAGACACGGCCCAGACUCCUACGGGAGGCAGCAGUGGGGAAUAUUGCACAAUGGGCGAAAGCCUGAUGCAGCGACGCCGCGUGAGGGAUGACGGCCUUCGGGUUGUAAACCUCUUUCAGCAGGGAAGAAGCGAAAGUGACGGUACCUGCAGAAGAAGCACCGGCUAACUACGUG